rnacentral:rRNA from 1 species
GAUGGACGCUGGCGGCGUGCCUAAUACAUGCAAGUCGAGCGAACGGACGAGAAGCUUGCUUCUCUGAUGUUAGCGGCGGACGGGUGAGUAACACGUGGAUAACCUACCUAUAAGACUGGGAUAACUUCGGGAAACCGUAGCUAAUACCGGAUAAUAUUUUGAACCGCAUGGUUCAAAAGUGAAAGACGGUCUUGCUGCCACUUAUAGAUGGAUCCGCGCUGCAUUAGCUAGUUGGUAAGGUAACGGCUUACCAAGGCAACGAUGCAUAGCCGACCUGAGAGGGUGAUCGGCCACACUGGAACUGAGACACGGUCCAGACUCCUACGGGAGGCAGCAGUAGGGAAUCUUCCGCAAUGGGCGAAAGCCUGACGGAGCAACGCCGCGUGAGUGAUGAAGGUCUUCGGAUCGUAAAACUCUGUUAUUAGGGAAGAACAUAUGUGUAAGUAACUGUGCACAUCUUGACGGUACCUAAUCAGAAAGCCACGGCUAACUACGUG